rnacentral:lncRNA from 1 species
GGAGAGGCAUCAUGCAAGAUCGUUGAAACUGAGUAAUUUGAUUCUGUAUAUAUACUCCUAUUUGUCAUAUCAUUUUUUGAACUCACUAUCUUACCCUUUAUGCUUUACAAACCAGAUUCAUAUAACCAAACGUGUCAUUUUUCCUCUGAACAUGUUUUUCAGAAAGCAUCAGAUUUUUGGUGCAAUGAAUCACUGCUGAAAUGCAUCAGCACUAUUUAUUUGAUGACAUUCCUCUGAACAUGUUUUUCAGGGAGCAUCAGAUAUUUGGUGCAAUGAAUCGCUGAUGACAUCGGAAUGACGGCACCGGAAAAGUCAGCAUGGCACUGGCAUGACACCGUGCAUGUUUCGUGGAUUUGCAGACAUAAUUAUCACAAUGCAGUGAGAUACUGGUAAAGAGUUGAGCGAGUUUAAAAAUAUCAAUCUCGGCGAUGUAAAACUCUAAUAUUUAACCUUGUAAGUGCAACUGCAUUAACUCAAAAGCUCAGAGACCAUGAUAGAUUUUCAUGACUCCAUUGGAGUGAAUUGUUUGAAAGUCAAAGUGAAUCAUUUGAAAGCCUUUUGGUGGAAGGCAAUAAGAUUGAUGAAUGGUUGUUUCAAACAUUCCCAUGAAGGAUGGUUUUCCCCCUAUUAAGAACUUUAUUUCAUACAAUAUCUUGUCUUUAAUUUUUCUCAUGAGAUUUCUAAUAUAUUUUUAAAACAUUAAAUGUUUUUUAGCAAGUGCUGGUCCAAUGGAUUGUCAUGUGUUGAUUUGGAGG